AGAAUAUUAUCAUUUAUACAAACCAACUAAUUUUUGUCCAUAUUAUUAUUUCUAAUCCAAAACCCUUUUCUCAUAUUAUUCCAAUAAUCCAAAACCCAACCUUAACUUCAAUUUACUUCUUCCCCAAACCCGCCGCUUCCCUUUUUCUAUAUAUCCCUUUUUCUUUACACACAUAACCAUUUCACUCUGCAAAAAAUCAAGAAAAAGAGUUUAUGAAGGAAUUAACAUGGAUUUUGCUACACGGCAAGCAAGUAUUAAGAGUGUUUUGACAUGCGGAAUUUGCAAAAAACUAUGCAAAAAAGUCACCAUAAUUGAAGAAUGCUGUCACAGAUUUUGCAAGAAGUGCAUAACAAAGAAGAUAACAGAAGAGAAAUCGCAUAUUUGUCCAGUAUGCAACUUGGAUUUAGGCUGUGCUCCAUUGCAGA